UCAUCUUCGGGGGUAGAGCACUGUUUCGGCUAGGGGGUCAUCCCGACUUACCAACCCGAUGCAAACUACGAAUACCGAAGAAUGUUAUCACGGGAGACACACGGCGGGUGCUAACGUCCGUCGUGAAGAGGGAAACAACCCAGACCGCCAGCUAAGGUCCCAAAGUCAUGGUUAAGUGGGAAACGAUGUGGGAAGGCACAGACAGCCAGGAUGUUGGCUUAGAAGCAGCCAUCAUUUAAAGAAAGCGUAAUAGCUCACUGGUCGAGUCGGCCUGCGCGGAAGAUGUAACGGGGCUAAACCAUGCACCGAAGCUGCGGCAGCGACACUAUGUGUUGUUGGGUAGGGGAGCGUUCUGUAAGCCUGCGAAGGUGUGCUGUGAGGCAUGCUGGAGGUAUCAGAAGUGCGAAUGCUGACAUAAGUAACGAUAAAGCGGGUGAAAAGCCCGCUCGCCGGAAGACCAAGGGUUCCUGUCCAACGUUAAUCGGGGCAGGGUGAGUCGACCCCUAAGGCGAGGCCGAAAGGCGUAGUCGAUGGGAAACAGGUUAAUAUUCCUGUACUUGGUGUUACUGCGAAGGGGGGACGGAGAAGGCUAUGUUAGCCGGGCGACGGUUGUCCCGGUUUAAGCAUGUAGGCUGAUUGUCCAGGCAAAUCCGGAUAAUCAAGGCUGAGGUGUGAUGACGAGGCACUACGGUGCUGAAGUAACAAAUGCCCUGCUUCCAGGAAAAGCCUCUAAGCAUCAGGUAACAUCAAAUCGUACCCCAAACCGACACAGGUGGUCAGGUAGAGAAUACCAAGGCGCUUGAGAGAACUCGGGUGAAGGAACUAGGCAAAAUGGUGCCGUAACUUCGGGAGAAGGCACGCUGGUGUGUAGGUGAAG
rnacentral:rRNA from 1 species